UCGGGAAUUUUGGGCAAUGGGCGAAAGCCUGACCCAGCAACGCCGCGUGAAGGAUGAAGUAUUUCGGUAUGUAAACUUCGUAAGAAUAGGAAGAAUCAAUGACGGUACUAUUUGUAAGCUCCGGCUAACUACGUGCCAGCAGCCGCGGUAAUACGUAGGGGGCAAGCGUUGUUCGGAUUUACUGGGCGUAAAGGGCGCGUAGGCGGCGUGACAAGUCACUUGUGAAAUCUCCGGGCUUAACCCGGAACGGUCAAGUGAUACUGUUGUGCUAGAGUGCAGAAAGGGCAAUUGGAAUUCUCGGUGUAGCGGUGAAAUGCGUAGAUAUCGAGAGGAACACCAGAGGCGAAGGCGAAUUGCUAGGCUGACACUGACGCUGAGGCGCGAAAGCUAGGGGAGCGAACG
rnacentral:rRNA from 1 species